UAUCAAUAUUUUAUUAUAUAUUAUCUACAUUAAAAUUUCUAUAUUUAUAAUUUACCAACACAUAUUGCCUAAAAAUCAUUUUGGAUUACAUUUUGAGCUUUUCUUUUCCCUUUGUAAAAUGUAUGUUUAAAAACAAAGUUUAACUAAAUAUAUUUUUAAAAGCUUGAAAUAUCUAAAUAAUGAGUUCAUAGUUUAGUCUUGAGGAAUAUUCCAUUAUUAAUAAUUUUUAACCUACUUAUGGGUCAUAAUGGCCCACCUAAUGAUCUGCAAAACACUCCUGAAAUGCAUUUCUGCAUUACUUUAGCUGUACCUCACACUGUUAUGAAGUAAUCCAGUGAAGGAUUACUUCCUGGUAACCUACUAAGUGUUACUAACAUGUAUUAUUUAUAAAGUAAAGUUAGAGUUACUAAAAUUUAUGAGGCCUCAGAGUCAGUGUUCUACCAACCACAUAGCGAUAUUGCAAAAGUAAUUCUGUUCAAGGUAUGAUCAGAUAGUUGAAUUUCCUAUAAUUUGACUAGAGGGCUCAUUAAUAUGGUGUUUGUCUUGUGACUUGGUUAUGAUUUUCAUUUGUUGCUACUCUCUUUUCUGGUAAGCAUUUUUUCAAAAGACAAGUAUCACAUAUAUUCUCUCAUAUGUUAACUUUACAGGGAAAAAGAUGACAUGGAAGUAGAAGGGGUACUAUUGGGGAAGUAGAAAGGGACUGAGGUAGAGGCAAGGGGAUCAAAGCAUAUUGUAUGCAGGUAUGAAAAUGCUAAAAUUGAAGCCCAUUAUUCGGUGCAGUUAACAGAUGUUAAUAAUUCUAAUAAAAUGAUUCCUCCAUCUUUUAAAAUCACUACUUCCUUCAUUAUUUUAUUUCUUUUAUUCUCUCAAUACUGAGGACUGAACCCAGGGUACUCUGUUCCUGAGCUACAUGCCAGUCUUCCUUAUUUUAAUUUUGAGGCAGGGUCUCACCAAGUUGCCCAGGCUGUCCUUGAACUUGUGAUCCUUCUGCAUCGGGCUUCUGAAUUGCUGGGAUUACAGGUAUGUACC
rnacentral:lncRNA from 1 species